UACAGAGGGUGCAAGCGUUAAUCGGAAUUACUGGGCGUAAAGCGUAUGUAGGUGGUUUUUUAAGUCAGGUGUGAAAUCCCUGGGCUCAACCUAGGAAUUGCAUUUGAUACUGGAAAGCUUGAGUGAGGUAGAGGGUAGUGGAACUCCCGGUGUAGCGGUGAAAUGCGUAGAUAUCGGGAAGAACACCAGUGGCGAAGGCGGCUACCUGGACUAACACUGACACUGAGAUACGAAAGCGUGGGGAGCAAACAGG
rnacentral:rRNA from 1 species